rnacentral:rRNA from 1 species
CCUACGGGAGGCAGCAGUGGGGAAUAUUGGGCAAUGGGCGCAAGCCUGACCCAGCAACGCCGCGUGAAGGAAGAAGGCUUUCGGGUUGUAAACUUCUUUUGUCAGGGACGAAGCAAGUGACGGUACCUGACGAAUAAGCCACGGCUAACUACGUGCCAGCAGCCGCGGUAAUACGUAGGUGGCAAGCGUUAUCCGGAUUUAUUGGGUGUAAAGGGCGUGUAGGCGGGAAUGCAAGUCAGAUGUGAAAACUAUGGGCUCAACCCAUAGCCUGCAUUUGAAACUGUAUUUCUAGAGUGCUGGGGAGGUAAGCGGAAUUCCUAGUGUAGCGGUGAAAUGCGUAGAUAUUAGGAGGAACACCAGUGGCGAAGGCGGCUUACUGGACAGUAACUGACGUUGAGGCUCGAAAGCGUGGGGAGCAAACAGGAUUAGAUACCCGGGUAGUC